rnacentral:rRNA from 1 species
AGCGAACGCUGGCGGCAGGCUUAACACAUGCCAGUCGAGCGGGCACUUUCGGGUGUCAGCGGCGGACGGGUGAGUAACGCGUGGGAACGUGCCCUCUGGUUCGGAAUAACUCAGGGAAACUUGAGCUAAUACCGGAUACGCCCUUUUGGGGAAAGGCUUGCUGCCGGAGGAUCGGCCCGCGUCUGAUUAGCUAGUUGGUGAGGUAACGGCUCACCAAGGCGACGAUCAGUAGCUGGUCUGAGAGGAUGAUCAGCCACACUGGGACUGAGACACGGUCCAGACUCCUACGGGAGGCAGCAGUGGGGAAUAUUGGACAAUGGGCGCAAGCCUGAUCCAGCCAUACCGCGUGGGUGAAGAAGGCCUUCGGGUUGUAAAGCCCUUUUGUUGGGAAAGAAAAGCAGCAGGUUAAUACCCCGCUGUUCUGACGGUACCCAAAGAAUAAGCACCGGCUAACUUCGUG